ACGGGAGGCAGCAGUGGGGAAUAUUGCACAAUGGGGGAAACCCUGAUGCAGCGACGCCGCGUGAGUGAUGAAGUAUUUCGGUAUGUAAAGCUCUAUCAGCAGGGAAGAUAAUGACGGUACCUGACUAAGAAGCUCCGGCUAAAUACGUGCCAGCAGCCGCGGUAAUACGUAUGGAGCAAGCGUUAUCCGGAUUUACUGGGUGUAAAGGGAGCGCAGGCGGUCUGGCAAGUCUGAUGUGAAAACCCGGGGCUCAACCCCGGGACUGCAUUGGAAACUGUCAGACUAGAGUGUCGGAGGGGUAAGUGGAAUUCCUAGUGUAGCGGUGAAAUGCGUAGAUAUUAGGAGGAACACCAGUGGCGAAGGCGGCUUACUGGACGACAACUGACGCUGAGGCUCGAAAGCGUGGGGAGCAAACAGGAUUAGAUACCCUGGUA
rnacentral:rRNA from 1 species